GCGGGGGCGCGACGGCCGGGGUGGGGGCGCUGCUGCUGCGGGGGCAGGCGGCGGCAGGGGCGGCGGCGGCGGCGGAGGUGGCCCGCUCCAGCCAUGCCGAAUAAAAACAAGAAGGAGAAAGAAUCACCAAAAGCAGGGAAGAGUGGAAAAAGUUCAAAAGAAGGACAAGACACAGUAGAAUCAGAGUGCUACUGUCUAAGAGCUGGAGCUACAGAGCUUGAAAUUACCACUGAAAAAUACUGAAAUGUUGGGCCCUUCACUGCUUCCUCAUAAGGAUACCAGAGGCAACAUGGCAUAUUAAGCUUGACUCUUGGCAGAUCACUGUGUUAAUUGUUUUUCAGGAAUACAAACUGGGACACUUCUGUUCAUUUGACCUUUGAGUUGACCCUUAACUUUUUUAUUAUUUUUUUUUUCCCCUCAGUCUUCAGCUGACUGCUUCACUUCUAGUUCCAC